rnacentral:rRNA from 1 species
GACGAACGCUGGCGGCGUGCCUAAUACAUGCAAGUAGGACGCAGUUGCGAACGGGUGAGUAACGCGUAGGUAACUACCUAUUAGAGGGGGAUAACUAUUGGAAACGAUAGCUAAUACCGCAUACUAGUAGAUGGACCUGCGUUGUAUUAGCUAGUAGGUAGGGUAAUGGCCUACCUAGGCAAGGAUACAAAGCCGAACUGGGAGGGUGAUCGGCCAGCCUGGGACUGGGACACGGCCCAGAGGCCCACGGGGAGGAGCAGAAGGGAAACUGCGGCAAGGGGGGGAACCCUGACCGAGCAACGCCGCGUGAGUGAAGAAGGUUUUCGGGUCGUAAAGCUCUGUUGUUAAGGAAGCGGUACUUAACCAGAAAGGGACGGCUAACUACGUGCCAGCAGCCGCGGUAAUAC